CCGCCCCCGGUGGCCGUGGGCGCUUCCUGGCGGAGCGGCCGCGCCACCCCCUGCCCCGCUCCCGCGGGCGGCGCAGGCUGGGCUCAGCAGAUCCGCGACGGCCCCCCUGUGCCAUUUCUCACCACCCAGCGCUGAGCAGGCUGUUUCUGUAGAGUUGGAGGCGUCUGCUUAAAAAUCCAGAUCACAACUGCACAAAGUGAACUCAGACCAUUAAGAGAAUAAGGAAGCUUCUCGUUCUCCCAAAUGGACCUCUUAAGCCGACAGCUGAUGGCAUGCCAACAGAAUGCUAGCAGCUAUAUCCAAUCAAGCACUGACACUGCUUUGAUUUUUGAGAAGUUCAACUCAAUCUUGAUUGAGUUCGACAGGCCUGCACCCACUAGGCUGUGGCUGGGAACUGCAAGGCGGAUACAGAGAAAAAUAAAUUCUUUCUGUCUGCUUUAAAAACUUCUUGACUGGGAGCUUUCUGAAGAGCUUAAUUGGAAAAGCGAAACUAAAGAAGAAAAGAAUCUGCUUUCUAGAAUGAAUUUGAAGACAUGAAAAAACACGGUAUAGUGUAACAACGAAGGGACAGUACCAAGGUCUGACCUUGGUGGAUUAUUCAUGUGCUUGAAGUUACACAAGUAUUUUGUUCUGCUUACCACAGUAACUGGAGCGAGGGAAGAAAGACUGGAACUGAAAGCAAUGCCCCAAGAACUUAAUUUUAUGAAGUUACCUCUAUAAUAAAAGAAGUUUCUGAACUGCUAAGCAAUGAAAAAUGCUUCACAGAUCCUCCAGUUAAAUACAAAUAAUGGUGAAAAACUCAUUUAUCAUUGAAAGAGAGCAUUACUUUAAGUAUACCACUUACCAUUGGGAAAUACCUGUGUUGGAAUCCCCUUCUCUGAACUGCACUAGUAACUCAAGAGUGACUUUCACCUGUGGAGGCCUUUACAAUUCACACCCCUCAGAGGGGAAAAAGAUGUCCUAAGAACCUACAUGAAUGGGGAAGAUGCCCCCCUGAGUUGGACUGUGGAUCUUUUUUUUCUCAGACGGUGGCAAGAGAUCCUAGCACACAUCAGGUACUUUGAGUGUAUGUGAAAUGCCAUCUCUCCUCCAGAAGUGCUCAUUGAAGUUCCAGCUGUGCUUUUCCCUCUGAACUUUUUAUACACUCCCUAACUAAGACCCUUUCAAGUUUCAGGAUCUCCUCAUCAACAGUUCCCAGGCCCUGUUGGUUGUUCAUGUCACCAGAAGAAGGAAGCUGGAUGGGGGAAUCCUGAUGACAGUGGAACCUGUGUCCAUUCAUUUCAUCAUCCUCCCACAUCUCCAAGCAGAGCAUCACUGGGCAGCAUCCACCUGCUCCUUGGUUAACCUUCAAGAAGUGACGGGUGAUGUCAGAGUGUCUCUGCUUCAUGCCCUCCUCCAGUUCCCCUAGCUCUUGUGUUUUCAGUCCUGUAACUAUUCCCUUUGUAUCAUUUGUUGUUUGUUGUUGUCCAUUUUUUGUCCUUUUUUCACUACCUAUAGCCUUCUCCCUCCCUUGGGGGUCUUUGAGGUUUUGCUAAUACAAAAUUCUGUUUUUCUAAACAGAAAAGCAAAUAGAAACAGUAGCAGUAGGAAAAACUGUUUACAGAGUGCAUAUAAGCUUGGCUACCUUCUUGAAACUCUUUUCUUUGUAUUCCCCUAGCUUCUGUGGCUCUUACAAAAGUAAAUCCUUGACUAGUCCUUUCACUGUCCUUUUUUUGGAUUUGUUGUACAUGAACUUACCAAAUUCCUGUCUGAACCUAUUGUUGGGAUCUGCUUCCCCAACCUCUUUUGGCAGCAAGUCCACAAAUACACUAGCCACUGUAAAAUAAUGUGUUCUUUUUAUCUGUUUUAAUUUAAUUCUACUGAAUGAGCCAAACUGCAAUUUGAUGAAAAAUGGCUCUAUAUUCAUCCUUUCAGCCACCUUCAUGAUUUCAUAAAGCUUGGACAAGUCUCACCACUGCAUUUUCCCAGUUGAAAAUUUUUUAGUCUGAUCUCUUAAGACAGCCUUUCCCUUUAAUCCCUUUAUUAAUUUCAGUUAUCUUGUAUGUAUCUUCCCUAAAUUUUCAUGUCCUAUUCCAGAUAUUAAGACCAAUUUCAUUUUGAGUCCCAUGAACAAUUACUUUUACCAUUUUUUGUAUAAUGCUUGAAUAUGUCUAUUGGUCCCAGUGCUGUAGGUCUUCCAAAGGAACAGCUCUACUUGAAGUGGAAUUCUUAUUUAAAUAAGCUCAAACAUAUCUUUGUUAUAAGUUAGAUGAGGUGAAAGCACUCUAGAUCCUAGCUAGGAAGACAACAGAGACAACAAUGUAGAGUUGCCUUUGGAUCAGUACCUGAGACUUGAGAUUGAAAAGCCAGCUGCUUCUUUGGGGGCUGGGGAUCUCCAUGCUGAGUAUGGAAAGAGGAGAGGACAGGGUGCUCCUUAAGCAUCAUUGAAAUCUUCAUAGGUUUUGGUUCCUUUUUUAAAUCUGUUUUCUAAUUUUUAGAUGCAUAAAUGCCAAAAGUGAGCAAUUAGGAGGUUUUUAUCAGAGACUGCAUGACAUUGAACUGUUUGUGUGUGUAUGUGUGGGGAUACCCCUCAUAUGAUGCACUCUUUGACUUGAAGGCUUUGCAUUAGAGUUCAAACAAACAGAUACAGGCUCAGGAAAGAAAUUUUUUUUAAAUCUAUUUUCCUUAAAGGAGUAAUGGCUUUCUAAAAAUCAGACAUUUUUCCUAUUACAUUUUUCUUGGCACAUUAGUUCUUGUCUAUUCAGUAUUCAAGUGAAAUAAUAAUGUAGGACACCUGUAGAGGCAAUAGCACAGAGAGCAGACUAUUCUUUUAUAAGGUUCUUUGCUGUUUUAGUUUUGUAUUUUAAAAAUCAAGAUAUUUUAAAUCCCAUUUUGUAGCAAAUUAAAGAAGGUGCUAGCUUUUGGGUUUUUUUAGGGGGUAAGUGUUGUAAAAUAUUCAAAGAAUACGUAAAAUACCUAUUUAAAAAUUAAUAUUUUCACACUGUUCUAUUCUUAUGAAUGCUGAUUAAUGGGGAGGAAAGGAUUGUUGAUGUGCAAGCCCUGUGUCCUUUUAAAGCAACUCUGUGUUACUAAAACUAAACAAGUUUGUAGAAUGAACUUUUUACUAGUGAUGAGCGUAGCCUUUCCAUUUUUGUCUUCAAAUAGACCAGCUGACACCAGAUCUGAUUUUUUUUUUUUUCAUGCAGGGAGGAGGUGAUUACAGGAAAGUUGUGUUUUAACCAAAAAAAAACUUGAUAAGGCCACCCUUUUUUCAAUUUCAGAUCAUGUUUACUGAAGCAUACUUCUCCUGAUUGCUCUACAUGAAGUCCUUUCUAAUUUUAUGAUUGAUGUCCGUAAAUACACGGGCAGUGAGAUGGCAAUCACCAAAGAGGGAGAAGAGCUAUGAAUAAAUUUAGGGUUGAAAUAGAGAAUGUUUCUAAUAAUCAGAAGAAUCGGGUUCUGGAAUAGUUUUUCAACAGAAGUCCUGGUGAGAUGAUCUUUCAGUACAAAGAUGACAUCUGUGAUUUCUAGCUCUGCCAAUUUGGUCACAAGACUGUAACACAGCCUGCUGUCUUUAUUUCUUGUGCAGCACUGAAAAAUAAAAAACCCAGUCCUGAAUUCCAGUCUAAGCAUCCUACUUUCUAUGUGUGUCAUAGCUACAUUUCGAAUUUAGGGAUUAAAAGGAAAAAAAUCCACAUUCUUCUCCACUACACCUUGCCUGUGCAGGCAUUGAGCUCUUACUGAGCUGUGGAGUUAUUUAACAUAACUUUUGUGAAAGCAUCUGUGGAUGUUUUAGACAUGACUGUUGUUCUGCUGGAGGGCACUGCCAUCAGAGCAGAGCUGGCAGAAAGGCUCAUACAAGUGUUUCUUAUUUUCUUCAGCUAAAGGUCAGCCAAGAUUAGCUCAAAAUAACAUUAAGCAAUAGGUUAAACGACGCCAGCUGACUUUGUGCAGAAGUAGAUUAGGAGUGCCCACAAAGGCCAUUCCACAACUGAGCUCCACAGGCAAGUGAACUCGGAAAGAAAGGACAGCAACAGCUUCUGCCAUUUCUGUGGUGACUGACACAGCUCAGUAGCUGUAUCUAUGCAACCAGUUAUUUCUGCUUCAAUCUGAGUUACAGUCUCCUCACAGAGAAGACCAUUGAAAUAUUAGGCUUGUAACAAUUCUGGACAGGUUGAAAACACUGUGCUUCCAGAUAUAUGCAUUCUCAGAUGCUUUCCUGUGGUGCACUGAGAAAUGCCUGAUAGAUGGAAGGAAAAAUCAAUGGGCAAUACAGACUUGUGCUUGCUUUCAUGCUGCCCUGAUGCCCAUUUCUUCUUGGCCUGUUUGGAUGGCUCUGUACCACACUGCUGGUCCUUGCAAGUGCUGAAAUGCUGGUGAAUGGGUGUUUGACACCUUGACCAAUAAACAUCAGUCGAUGUUUACAGGAGCAAGAAGUAAGAAACAUGUACUAAAUGAUUACAUCCGCUUUCCAGCAGUGAGUGACUUGUGACCUUCCUAAACCACUUGUUCUUCCUAGGAGUUACAUCCCAACUGCUGUGUUUAUUAACUACACAUGAACUUUUACUUCAGCGUGAUUUUUGGGAUGUUCUUCUACUUUGUUUUAAAUCUACUUCUGCUUUUGACCUCCAUAACAUCUCAUGGCAAUGAGUUCCACAAUUAUACAUUAAAAGAAGGACUGGUUUGCAGGACUUGCAAUGCACUGUAGCUACACAUUCCUCAAAGCCCGUUUGCCAUUUUAGUGCCCUCGUUGCAAAGUUCCAGCCUACAGGGACACAUGCAGAAGCUAGAAAUGGAAAAGAUCUAUUGUAUCAUAGUGUUAGCUCCAGCCUUAAUAGAAAAUGUUUCAGUCACAGCUUGACAUGAUAACAUCAGUGUACUUAAAAGAUAGAGCAGGUCUCAGAACAGUCUGCAGGGUGCAAAAACAAAGACUUCGACAGCCCCCAGGGUGUUUUUCCUCAACAGAAUGAACAGGGCAGGACUCAUGCUAGAGCUACUGUGAACAUCUCUAUUGGAAUAGUUGAUAAUUUGAGUAGGCUUGUCGUUUUCCUGACAAUUGUAGUUCUAGAGAUAUUUCCUGUCCUUCUUCAACAGUUGCUAACACUGUGUGCAUUUCCCUGCAUAGGUAUUACAGAGAUUAAAUUGUUUUAUUAAUGGACCACAGUUUGUAAGUAUCUUCAUGGGGAAUACAGCUGGUUUUCCAUACCAUAAACACUGGUUAAAGAAGAGGCAAUAAACUGGUGACAGUUUACCAGAAACAGUCAGUCUAGAAGUAGAGCUCAGUCUUGAAACAUUAAGGUAGUAACUCACUGUGGUAAUUUUCUAAGGAUUAUGCAGGAUUGUUUCUCACUGGAAAUUACUUGAUCAAUAGUGGGUUCCUUAUUUUUCCCCUAAGCUCUUCUGUAUUUCAAAGAAAUAGGAAUUAAGGAAGCAUUGCAUCACUUUAUUUUAGAUCACAUUAAAGCAUCACAGUAGUCAUGUCUACGAUUAUAUAAACUAAGAACAAAAGAAGAACCGUAAACCAUUGAAAACCACAAUUUCCUCUGGAAUAAUUCAGAAUAAAUAAAGGUCAGUUAUUUUAAACAAAAACUCCUGUAGUAACCUACUGAGGGCUUUCCCUAACAAACAACAGAUUUGCAGAUUUAUAUAAUACAUUUAUUUAGUGGCAAUCCAAAGUGGUAUACAGAUGGUUUAUGGGAAUAUUUCAUGCAUCUCUAAAAAGCAAUCUCUUCUUGAGUAGAAAAAUUGUAAUUAUCAACAAUAAUACACAGUAUUCUGGAUCAGCAGUGUGAUUUCUGGAUAUCUGGAUUAUUCCAUCUAUAGGCAAAAUAUAUAAGCUGCUGUCCAUUUUCCUCUUCUCAGAAAAUAAUAAGAAACAAGUGCUGAAGAAAAUGCCUAACUAUGCACUGAAAACCAUUCCUCCAAAUCAAUCCUCAAUUUGAUUAAGAUAUCAUAAAUUUUACAUUAACCCAGAUACUUUUUUUCUCAAAGACAAAAACUAUAUUAUGGGGUUUUUUUUACUCAGGAAGUUUUAAAUCUUUCAGACCUGUUAUUGGAUGAAAAGUUUUAUUUCCAUCCUUUUUUAAAUAGAAGCUUCUAAGCCUAAUGAUUAUGGAGAAAAUAUUACAAAUCUGCAGCAAAAGUUCAGUAAUUGUAAACUAAAUAAACCCUAGGAACCCCAUACUUCUUUUAAAAUUCUUUGAUGCUCAAGGGCAGUAAUACAAUUCUUGACAACUGGGACAAAAGACUUUACCAUGCUUGGGACUGAAUAAUAUUGUAAUUCCUACCUCUUUUUAGCCAUCUGUUGUAAUGAGAAAUGACUUAGAUGGUUUUAUCUUUGCAUUAUCUUUGCAUUAUCUUUUGCAUUCCAACAAACUCAUCCAGAUUAGGUGACUCCAAAGUGAAGGUGUUACUUAUUUUCAAAUGUAUGUCCUUUGUUCCAAAGUGCCUUCAGUUAAUGGGAACAUGUAGUAGCACGCUGAACAAGGACACCAAGCUUUUGUAACAGAUAAAAUUUUGAAAAACGCAGUAAUUCAUCACAUCACCUGACUGAGUUUAUUUUACCUAGAUAGACUUUAAAUGUCAUAUACACCUUUUAAUUAGCACAGUAUAUACUAUUGCUAGGUUUUAAACCAGGUACAGGUUUUAAAUAUAAUAUAUGUAGCAAGAAGAAUAAAUUGUCAGUUUGGAGUUAGCUGAACACAAAAUCGGCAAAAUUUGGUACAGGGCAGUUAUGUAAAAAGUUCAAUUAUGUUGACCCAGAUCUCAAAGCUCAUCUUAGGCUUUUUAUAGACUUUUAACCAUUAUAAGUGGCUCUGAUUUACAUACAUUUCUAACUGAAGCAAGCCUUCCAGACUGCACAUGCAUGAAAUCCACCUACCAGGCAUAUGGGGACUGUGGAGCAAAUAAGAUACAAGCAGCUCCGCAACUGUGCACUGACUUUGAGGAAAAAAUGGAUGCCUACUGAACCAUUAGCAUCACUGCAGUAAGUUUUGGAAGUCUGUUCAAAGCUGCCCUUCUCCAUCCCCACUGAGAAUUCGCAUAGUUAAAAAUAGUAUAAUGGUUUUAUUCAAUAUCCUAUUCCACUUUUUUUUUGGAUACUCAACAUUAAUUUUCAGUGUAAUCCUGUUCCAGGUGUUUGUGCUCUACAAAAGAGUUUUGUUUCUAAGUACAUGUUCUGCUCUGGUAAUUAUCCUUCCUGCACUGUAAUUCAAGCCUGAAAGUGAUUUAUUCUCCAUGUGUUCUUUGUAGAAUUAAAUGUGUCGCCUUUGUGACUGAC